AUUGAACGCUGGCGGCAGGCCUAACACAUGCAAGUCGAACGAGUGGCGGACGGGUGAGUAACACGUGGGUAACCUACCCAUCAGAGGGGGAUAACACUUGGAAACAGGUGCUAAUACCGCAUACUGAUGGAUGGCCCGCGGUGCAUUAGCUAGUUGGUGAGGUAACGGCUCACCAAGGCCACGAUGCAUAGCCGACCUGGGAGGGGGAUCGGCCAAAAUGGGACUGAGAAACGGCCCAGACUCCUACGGGAGGGAGCAGUAGGGAAUCAUCGGAAAUGGGGGGAACCCUGACCGAGCAACGGCGCGUGAGAGAAGAAGGUUUUCGGAUCGGAAAGCUCUGUUGUUAAGGAAGCGGUACUUAAACAGAAAGGGACGGCUAACUACGUGCCAGCAGCCGCGGUAAUUC
rnacentral:rRNA from 1 species